rnacentral:rRNA from 1 species
UUAGUGGCAGACGGGUGAGUAACAUGUGGGUAUCUACCCUUUGGCCUGGAAUAACACGAGGAAACUUGUGCUAAUACCGGAUAAGCCCUUACGGGGAAAGUUUUAAUGCCAAAAGAUGAGCCCGCACUUGAUUAGCUAGUUGGUAAGGUAAUGGCUUACCAAGGCGACAAUCAAUAGCUGAUUUGAGAGGAUGAUCAGCCACAUUGGGACUGAGACACGGCCCAAACUCC